rnacentral:rRNA from 1 species
AUUGGACGCUGGCGGCAUGCCUUACACAUGCAAGUCGAACGGUAACGCGGGGCAACCUGGCGACGAGUGGCGAACGGGUGAGUAAUGCAUCGGAACGUGCCCAGUAGUGGGGGAUAGCCCGGCGAAAGCCGGAUUAAUACCGCAUACGACCUACGGGUGAAAGCGGGGGAUCGAAAGACCUCGCGCUACUGGAGCGGCCGAUGUCAGAUUAGGUAGUUGGCGGGGUAAAGGCCCACCAAGCCUACGAUCUGUAGCUGGUCUGAGAGGACGACCAGCCACACUGGGACUGAGACACGGCCCAGACUCCUACGGGAGGCAGCAGUGGGGAAUUUUGGACAAUGGGGGCAACCCUGAUCCAGCCAUGCCGCGUGCGGGAAGAAGGCCUUCGGGUUGUAAACCGCUUUUGUUGGGGAAGAAAUCUUCCGGGCUAAUACCCUGGGGGGAUGACGGUACUCGGAGAAUAAGCACCGGCUAACUACGUGCCAGCCGCCGCGGUAACAC